ACUCCUGGGUUCUCUCCCUGCUGUGCCACUGACUUCAUACGCAACCUUGAGCGAGUCGCGUUUCCUCGCAGGGCCUCGGCAGGGCCAUCCUUAGGCAUAUGUAGGCACCCAAAAAUUUGGGGCCCCACCCUGAUUCCCUGGCUGCGGCACGGACUCCUCUCCGUUUGCUCUCCCUGCCCCUUGGCGGUGCCGGCAGGAGGGGAUGGACCUGGAGCGGGAAGUGCCGGGGAGGGAGCGAGCUCCUCGCUGGGGCGGGAGAUGGGCUCGCACCGGACACGGCUGGAGCAGCUGGAAACUCCAUUUCGGGGAGAGGGAGGUGAGCGAUGGAGCAGCCCGUGUGCCUCAUCGCCACCCGGCCGAUGGGGGGCUGGAGGCCCUGGGCGGAGGGCCCAGCCCAGCGGGCUGUUUCGCACCGGCAAGCCCUACCUCCUGAACCAGCUGGCCGGCAGGAGAACAGGUGAGAGACCUUCUGCUUCCUGACCCCGUCCGGGAUCCUUCACCUCCCCCUCUGGGCCAGCCGUGAACCCCCCCAGCCCGCUUGCAGCGGGGCACGUGAGUCUGUUAUUGAGCCUCUGGAAUGUGGGGCUGGAAGGGACCUCGUGGGGUUGUCACGUGCAGCCCCCGGCGCGGAGGCAGGGCCAGGAACCGAGAGCGGCCGGGACGGGGGUUUGUCCAACCUGUGACCAACGUGUGCUGGCUAGUGGGUGACCAUCAACGCGGUGACCGCCAUGGGCACCAUCGAGAACGAGGCGGCCGUCAGGGAGGCGCUGGCUCACUACGUGGCCGGGAUGCGGGGGCUGCGGCUGCCGGCGGAACUGGGUGAGCUCUUGGCGGUGCACGGGACGUGCGAGGAGGAUGCCCUGCGGCUCUUCGUGCAGCGCUCCUUCAAGGACGAGGGUUACACGUACCAGAAGCGGCUGAUGGUAUGUGAAUGCCAGGGGCCCUGCCUUCCUCCCCGUGCCGUCUGAACGCUUUGCUGCCAGGCCGUUCGCACAGCGCGGCCAACCUGCGACAAACGCCCCUGAGAUUCUGAGGGCGAAUCCCCAUGUCCUAAGGCCUGGCCCAGACUUAAACCUCUUCUGUCAGUGUAGACGUAGAGAAUGUGGUGACCUCAUUUAUCUAGGCUUCCAAAAGGCUUCUGAGGUUAAAGGCGAAGUUGUCCUGGGGGGAGUGGCAAAGGAUGGUCAUAGAUCGAAACCAGGCCACGGCACUAGAUGGACUUUGGCUCUGAUCUGGGGUGGGAAUUCCUAUGAAAACAGGACCCAAGGGUAACUAACGCUAAGCUAGGUGUCUGAGCCCGCAGAAAGAGCUCCGGGAGGUGGGACUUCAUCCCGGCACGGUGUCAACGCGAAUGUCAGAGGUGAUACUUUACCUGGCAAACUUGGUGAUGAUUUCACUGAGCAGAGCAGGUGAGAAAGGGGAGGGCGAGCCAGUGAUAAUGACCUGGACCAUGUCAGACAGGAAACCUCUUAUCUGAAGUCAAAAAUUGUCACGGCUCCUUUAGAGGUACCAGGAAAGUGAGAGUAAACCAAUGUCUGGACACCAGGAGGGCUGAGCCGAUCCAAUCUGUUCCUGCCUGUUUCGAGAGCAGGACAGAGGAGAGUUGAUCUUGCAGGGGAGCAAGAUUUUCUUGACUUUGGUUUGUAAAAUCCUUUCCAGCAGCUCAUGGUUCCACGGCCAAGCGGGUGAGAAACACCGUGUGACUGUCACUGCCUCUCUCCCUUCCCAGCCAUCGCCCAGUUUGUUCUCCGAGCCGGUGGGCUGGCUGGUGGCGGAUGCUAUUUUCCUUCCCGGGCGAGACGUAGCCAAACCCAGCAAGAGCAGCCGGGCACGCGAGCCCCACGGAGCUGGGGAGAGUGGUGUUUCCAGUCCUGGGAGCUAAGCCCAGUAGAGCUCGGUGAGCAUGCGCCGUCGUAUGGUGAGUGUCUGCCCGCGGACUGAGGGCAGUGCUGCCUUUUGGCUCGUUCUCUUUUGUUGAUUAGGAGGCAAUCAAGGAAAGUUACCGGCGGUCGCUGGGCCAGAACGAAGCUGCGUCCAAGGACUCCUGCCGCGCCCUGCUGGAGACGCUCUCAGCCGCCAUGCAGAGGAGUCAAGGUGAGUCUCCGGAGCCAGCCCAGGCAGCGUGGAGUUUCCGAAGCCUCAGUGUUGCCACUGGCCGUGAUCUCCCGAGGGAAAGGGUCGGUAUCGGACGCCUGAGCGCUCGCAGACAAUUCCGAGCUGCGUGCUAUGCGAUCUCUUCUUCCCCGGCUGAGGAGGGACUGGAACAAUUCCUGGCCAGCAAGAGGAUCGAAGCAGAAACAGUCCUCAACGUCGACAAAAAUUUGACUGAAGCAGAAAAGGACCUGGCCACUGUGGAGCUCACAACGCACAUGCAGAGAAGUGAAAUACAAACCAUCCGUCCUCUUGCUGGAAGGCUGCACUGUAGCAUGACUUUAUUUCUGAGGAUUCAGAGCACACAAGGACCCCAAACCAGAGAGAGACAAACCAGGCUGCUCCCUAAGGCAGUGAGGCACCAUUCACCCGCCUUGAUUUAAGCUGUCUGCUCCAUGCUUUGCUACAGCCUUCUAGCAGGAGCAGAGACCCCCCUGCUCUGACGGUGAGAGCUUGCAAUUCCAACACAGUCCUCAAGACCCCACCCAACCCUUUCCUGCCUCACUUUCCCUCUUUCAGGCCUUGACACCCUAGCGUUUUUGGGGUUGGCUGCACACACGCCCGGCGUGAAACGUCCGAAAACCUCCCAAAUGGGAAUGCUCAGAUUCCCAUCUCAGGUACACCGAUGUAAAUCCAGAGUGACUCCCUCUGAAGGCCAUAGAGUCAUUCUCGUCUACACCAGGAUAACUGAGACCAGAAUCUUGCCCAUUGGUGCAAAGGGGAAGAAAAACCAUCCAUUAGGGCCAGCGGAGGAUUCACCCUGGGGGGAAGAAGCCCUGCCUGGCGUAAGCCAGCCUAGCCCUUAGGCCCUGUUGGACGUGUUGCCCCAGGACUUUGGAAACUAGGAUAGUGGCAGAUCCCUGUGGCCCUGGCCAGUCGCCCAUUUGUGGCUCUAGCCAGCUGGCACAGAGCCAGCCCCAGGGCCAGGGAGCUGCAAAGAACUGGUUAGUGCUCCCUGUGACGAAGCAGGACUAUCCUUAAUGUUUCCUCUGAAUAGUAUGGGGGUGCCUCAGUUUCCUCUGUGCAGUUCUUAAGUCUCUAGGUGGUGGGGUAAGGGUGUAUGAUCAUUGCAGAGCCCUA